rnacentral:tRNA from 1 species
AGAACUGUAGCUCAGUGGCAGAGCACUUGCCUAGCAUGUGUGAGGCACUGGGUUCAAUCCUCAGCAGCACCA